rnacentral:ribozyme from 13 species
AAAGAAACACCCCUCAAAAAAAACAAAGGAAAAUAAAAAAUGGUUGGAAAACCAAUCGUGAACAAAAAAAAAGAAAUUAUUUCUUCUUGCGUUCAGGUUUCUUCUUCUUCUUAUCCUUUUCUUUCA